rnacentral:tRNA from 5 species
GCCGCCUUAGCUCAGGGGUAGAGCAGUUCCCUCGUAAAGAACAGGUCGUCGGUUCAAAUCCGACAGGCGGCUCCA